rnacentral:rRNA from 1 species
GACGAACGCUGGCGGCGUGCUUAACACAUGCCAGUCGAACGGAAAGGCCUGCUUUCCCUUGUGGAUUGCGGGUACUCGAGUGGCGAACGGGUGAGUAACACGUGAGUGAUCUGCCCCCAACUUGGGUAUAAGCCUGGGAAACUGGGUCUAAUUCCCGAUAGGACUGCAGGGUGGUGCCUGUGGUGGAAAACGAUUUUCUAGUGGUUGGGGAUGAGCUCGCGGCCUAUCAGCUUGUUGGUGGGGUAAUGGCCUACCAAGGCGGCGACGGGUAGCCGGCCUGAGAGGGUGGACGGCCACAUUGGGACUGAGAUACGGCCCAGACUCCUACGGGAGGCAGCAGUGGGGAAUAUUGCACAAUGGGCGGAAGCCUGAUGCAGCGACGCCGCGUGGGGGAUGACGGCCUUCGGGUUGUAAACUCCUCUCGACCGCGAGGAAGCCACCUGGUUGGAAGGGUGGUGACGGUAGUGGUAGAAGAAGCACCGGCUAACUACGUG